AGAAUCAACGCUGGCGGCGUGCCUAACGCAUGCAAGUCGAACGAGAAAGUGGAGCAAUCCAUGAGUAAAGUGGCGCACGGGUGAGUAACACGUGACUAACCUACCCUUGAGUGGGGGAUAACUGAGGGAAACCUUAGCUAAUACCGCAUAAUACCCACGGGUCAAAGGAGCAAUUCGCUCGAGGAGGGGGUCGCGGCCGAUUAGUUAGUUGGCGGGGUAAUGGCCCACCAAGACGAUGAUCGGUA
rnacentral:rRNA from 1 species